rnacentral:rRNA from 1 species
UCCAUGCUGUAAACUAUGGACACUAGGUAUGGGGAGUAUCGACCCUCUCUGUGCCGAAGCUAACGCUUUAAGUGUCCCGCCUGGGGACUACGGCCGCAAGGCUAAAACUCAAAGGAAUUGACGGGGGCCCGCACAAGCAGCGGAGCGUGUGGUUUAAUUCGAUGCAACGCGAAGAACCUUACCAAGGUUUGACAUGUCGGAAGUAGUGACCUGAAAGGGAAGCGACCUGUUAAGUCAGGAGCCGUCACAGGUG